AGGGCUGUUCCGGCGAUGUUGGCGGCGUGAGCGGCACGCUGCAGUGAUUCUGCUCUCUGGCGAGGCCCUGAGCUGCAGGCGCAGGUGGAGGUGGCUCCAACGGCAGCUGGCCCUGGCCAAUCAGCACAAAAGCAGCUGGGCUAAAAGGCUGUGAAGGUGCUUCUCAAGAGCAUCGGCAGAACAAAGGUAACGUGGUCCAAAAUGACUUCAGGGGGAUUCCAGUCCAGCAGACAUGCGCGGCGGUGAAUUUUGAAGCGACAUGAGAGGAGUUGCGGCAUACCGACGACCACCUCCACUGCCACGUGAGCGUUG